AUGGAGAAUGGAAGCGAUCAACAAUAUCUGUCAAUUUUAAUACUUUAGGUUUUCGCAUUAAAGCUUCUGGUGAUUUAACAGACCAAGAACUUGAUAAAGUUCUUGAUUCAUUGACACAGCGAAGUGAAUUACAGGUUACUCAUAGACUCAAACAAUUAGAAAAUAUCUCGUCAACAUUACGCAAAUAUAGUAAUUCAUCAAUUCAAGAUUGUUUGAAGCUAACUUGUGACAAUUAUGUAAAAUCCGAAAAGUUGAAAGAUGCUAUUAGAACUUAUUUUGAGUCAGAUACUCUCGGCGUAUUAUGCGAUUCUCUUCAACUUACAACCAAUAAGCUUGAUGAAGAAGAACAAGUUACUAAUGAUAUACGUAAUUUGAUUUCAAGUUAUAAAGACAUUAAUUUUACAGGACGAAGUAUAGCACGAAUUUUUCAUGGUAUUCAAAGCCCGAAUUAUCCGGCACUUAUUUGGUCUCGUUCCCGGUUUUGGAGAAUCCAUAUAGAUAAAGAUUUCAAUAUAAUAAGUCAAUUGGCAACAAAAGAAAUUUUAAAAAUGAGAUAAAUUAGUUUUUCAUGCAUCAUGAUUUUUAAAAUUUAUAAAUGCAUAGAUAUAAAGUAUGAUGCAACUACAAACACAUUUUUAUUCUGUGCAUGCUUUAAGUUUUGUAAAAAGUUUCAAUAAAUGAUUGCUAGAGUUAU